UUCACAUUCCUGGAGACAGAAUUCUAUGUAUCCACAAAUCAGAUACAGGCUUCAAACAGUCUAAGUUUCUCCACAUGGGUUUGCCAAUGUGUCUCAACUUUGACCUGGACAGACCACCUCCAAGGGUGAAAGGGCAGUUCAGUCUCUCUGGCCCACACAAUCCUUGACCUCU
rnacentral:sRNA from 1 species